rnacentral:rRNA from 1 species
CCCGCAACGAGCGCAACCCUUUUCCUUAUUUGCCAGCGGGUUAAGCCGGGAACUUUAAGGAUACUGCCAGUGACAAACUGGAGGAAGGCGGGGACGACGUCAAGUCAUCAUGGCCCUUACGACCAGGGCUACACACGUGCUACAAUGGUAGGUACAGAGGGUUGCUACACAGCGAUGUGAUGCUAAUCUCAAAAAGCCUAUCGUAGUCCGGAUUGGAGUCUGCAACUCGACUCCAUGAAGUCGGAAUCGCUAGUAAUCGCAGAUCAGAAUGCUGCGGUGAAUAC